UGAAAGGAUUUUUUCAAAUCCAUAAGUAGCUAAAUUCUUAAUAUUU
rfam:Corchorus olitorius cultivar O-4 contig23572, whole genome shotgun sequence.